rnacentral:lncRNA from 1 species
AUGCCCAUGGCACUGUCCCACAGCGGUACCCAGCCUUCACCUCACUCCUUGUCCCCAGGAGAGCAGACCUCCCACCAAAGGCAAGGGCCAAGGGCUGGGUGCCAGCGUAGAGGCCAGCUGGCCAUUGCCAAGGACCCCACAGAUCUGCCCUGGCCUUGGGCUGUGCUCAGAAAUCUUCUUUACUGUCCAAAACCCUCUGCAGAGAGUCCUGCGCUGGUGUCCUCAGUGUCACCCGCAGCCCCUCUGAGAACCAGCAGCUGCUUCCCAUCAGGUCAUUUGGAGACAGAAAUUCAGCAGCAAAAAAAGAAUUUAACCCGUGCAGGGAAAGCCCCUGUUCCAAGCUCAGGAAAACCAAGAGAGAACCCUCUGCAGCAGAGUCACAUGCUGGAGAGGAGAAACCUCUGGGGAGAGCAGAUGAGGAAGAAGAGCAGGCCCCAUGGGAGGAGAGUUUUAGAGCUUAGAGAGCUCCUCCCACUGGGGAUAACCCACACCCCCCUGUGGCUUCUGUGGGGCAGAGGAAAUCCUUCCCAUGGCACCGUGGGAGAGCAGGUGCCUUGGAGCAGCCCCAGCCACCGCCAGCUCCCAUGGCAGCCCUGUGGUCAGGGCAACUCUGUGACCAAGGCUGUGCCAGGGCCCAUCCCCUCCCUCAGGGGGCCCAGGGCUGGUGGCUGGGUCAGAGCUGGGGCUGCACUGGGGCACUUGCUGUGCAGGGCCCCUGCACUGCAGCUGCCUGGGCUCUGCAUGUUUGCCAGCAGCGGGUCACGCACAGGGCAGCCACAGCACAGGAGGGUGCCAGGGCUGUGCAGGCCAUGGCCACGCAGACAGUGGAACAGCCCUCACACCUUGCCCUGGUGCUGGGUUAACAGCCAGCCCGGAGCACAUCCUGCACCCUGUGGCAGCAGAAUGGCAGUCAUCCUCAGCUCCCACAGCCACAGGGCUCAGGCUCUGCUGGGAGACCACUGGAGAACAUCAGGUGGCAGCACAGGGAUGUGCCAGGGCCUGCUCUGGAAGCCCUGGGUGCUCUCCUGGAGAACAAGGAGCAGAGAGGUGUGCAGUCACCAGUACCACAUCCAGCCACGGUGCUGA